rnacentral:rRNA from 1 species
GGGUUGUGAGGUUAAGCGACUAAGCGUACACGGUGGAUGCCCUGGCAGUCAGAGGCGAUGAAGGACGUGCUAAUCUGCGAUAAGCGUCGGUAAGGUGAUAUGAACCGUUAUAACCGGCGAUUUCCGAAUGGGGAAACCCAGUGUGUUUCGACACACUAUCAUUAACUGAAUCCAUAGGUUAAUGAGGCGAACCGGGGGAACUGAAACAUCUAAGUACCCCGAGGAAAAGAAAUCAACCGAGAUUCCCCCAGUAGCGGCGAGCGAACGGGGAGGAGCCCAGAGCCUGAAUCAGUGUGUGUGUUAGUGGAAGCGUCUGGAAAGGCGCGCGAUACAGGGUGACAGCCCCGUACACAAAAAUGCACAUAUUGUGAGCUCGAUGAGUAGGGCGGGACACGUGGUAUCCUGUCUGAAUAUGGGGGGACCAUCCUCCAAGGCUAAAUACUCCUGACUGACCGAUAGUGAACCAGUACCGUGAGGGAAAGGCGAAAAGAACCCCGGCGAGGGGAGUGAAAAAGAACCUGAAACCGUGUACGUACAAGCAGUGGGAGCCUCUUUUAUGGGGUGACUGCGUACCUUUUGUAUAAUGGGUCAGCGACUUAUAUUCUGUAGCAAGGUUAACCGAAUAGGGGAGCCGAAGGGAAACCGAGUCUUAACUGGGCGUUAAGUUGCAGGGUAUAGACCCGAAACCCGGUGAUCUAGCCAUGGGCAGGUUGAAGGUUGGGUAACACUAACUGGAGGACCGAACCGACUAAUGUUGAAAAAUUAGCGGAUGACUUGUGGCUGGGGGUGAAAGGCCAAUCAAACCGGGAGAUAGCUGGUUCUCCCCGAAAGCUAUUUAGGUAGCGCCUCGUGAACUCAUCUCCGGGGGUAGAGCACUGUUUCGGCAAGGGGGUCAUCCCGACUUACCAACCCGAUGCAAACUGCGAAUACCGGAGAAUGUUAUCACGGGAGACACACGGCGGGUGCUAACGUCCGUCGUGAAGAGGGAAACAACCCAGACCGCCAGCUAAGGUCCCAAAGUCAUGGUUAAGUGGGAAACGAUGUGGGAAGGCCCAGACAGCCAGGAUGUUGGCUUAGAAGCAGCCAUCAUUUAAAGAAAGCGUAAUAGCUCACUGGUCGAGUCGGCCUGCGCGGAAGAUGUAACGGGGCUAAACCAUGCACCGAAGCUGCGGCAGCGACACUAUGUGUUGUUGGGUAGGGGAGCGUUCUGUAAGCCUGUGAAGGUGUACUGUGAGGUAUGCUGGAGGUAUCAGAAGUGCGAAUGCUGACAUAAGUAACGAUAAAGCGGGUGAAAAGCCCGCUCGCCGGAAGACCAAGGGUUCCUGUCCAACGUUAAUCGGGGCAGGGUGAGUCGACCCCUAAGGCGAGGCCGAAAGGCGUAGUCGAUGGGAAACAGGUUAAUAUUCCUGUACUUGGUGUUACUGCGAAGGGGGGACGGAGAAGGCUAUGUUGGCCGGGCGACGGUUGUCCCGGUUUAAGCGUGUAGGCUGGUUUUCCAGGCAAAUCCGGAAAAUCAAGGCUGAGGCGUGAUGACGAGGCACUACGGUGCUGAAGCAACAAAUGCCCUGCUUCCAGGAAAAGCCUCUAAGCAUCAGGUAACAUCAAAUCGUACCCCAAACCGACACAGGUGGUCAGGUAGAGAAUACCAAGGCGCUUGAGAGAACUCGGGUGAAGGAACUAGGCAAAAUGGUGCCGUAACUUCGGGAGAAGGCACGCUGAUAUGUAGGUGAAGUCCCUCGCGGAUGGAGCUGAAAUCAGUCGAAGAUACCAGCUGGCUGCAACUGUUUAUUAAAAACACAGCACUGUGCAAACACGAAAGUGGACGUAUACGGUGUGACGCCUGCCCGGUGCCGGAAGGUUAAUUGAUGGGGUCAGCGCAAGCGAAGCUCUUGAUCGAAGCCCCGGUAAACGGCGGCCGUAACUAUAACGGUCCUAAGGUAGCGAAAUUCCUUGUCGGGUAAGUUCCGACCUGCACGAAUGGCGUAAUGAUGGCCAGGCUGUCUCCACCCGAGACUCAGUGAAAUUGAACUCGCUGUGAAGAUGCAGUGUACCCGCGGCAAGACGGAAAGACCCCGUGAACCUUUACUAUAGCUUGACACUGAACAUUGAGCCUUGAUGUGUAGGAUAGGUGGGAGGCUUUGAAGUGUGGACGCCAGUCUGCAUGGAGCCGACCUUGAAAUACCACCCUUUAAUGUUUGAUGUUCUAACGUUGACCCGUGAUCCGGGUUGCGGACAGUGUCUGGUGGGUAGUUUGACUGGGGCGGUCUCCUCCUAAAGAGUAACGGAGGAGCACGAAGGUUGGCUAAUCCUGGUCGGACAUCAGGAGGUUAGUGCAAUGGCAUAAGCCAGCUUGACUGCGAGCGUGACGGCGCGAGCAGGUGCGAAAGCAGGUCAUAGUGAUCCGGUGGUUCUGAAUGGAAGGGCCAUCGCUCAACGGAUAAAAGGUACUCCGGGGAUAACAGGCUGAUACCGCCCAAGAGUUCAUAUCGACGGCGGUGUUUGGCACCUCGAUGUCGGCUCAUCACAUCCUGGGGCUGAAGUAGGUCCCAAGGGUAUGGCUGUUCGCCAUUUAAAGUGGUACGCGAGCUGGGUUUAGAACGUCGUGAGACAGUUCGGUCCCUAUCUGCCGUGGGCGCUGGAGAACUGAGGGGGGCUGCUCCUAGUACGAGAGGACCGGAGUGGACGCAUCACUGGUGUUCGGGUUGUCAUGCCAAUGGCACUGCCCGGUAGCUAAAUGCGGAAGAGAUAAGUGCUGAAAGCAUCUAAGCACGAAACUUGCCCCGAGAUGAGUUCUCCCUGACCCUUUAAGGGUCCUGAAGGAACGUUGAAGACGACGACGUUGAUAGGCCGGGUGUGUAAGCGCAGCGAUGCGUUGAGCUAACCGGUACUAAUGAACCGUGAGGCUUAACCUUACAACGCCGAAGCUGUU